UACAGAGGGUGCAAGCGUUGUUCGGAAUUACUGGGCGUAAAGCGCGUGUAGGCUGCGAUGUAAGUCAGGUGUGAAAGCCCUCAGCUUAACUGAGGAAGUGCACUUGAUACUGUGUCGCUUGAGUGUCGGAGGGGGGUGGCGGAAUUCCCGGUGUAGAGGUGAAAUUCGUAGAUAUCGGGAGGAACACCUGUGGCGAAGGCGGCCACCUGGACGACAACUGACGCUGAGACGCGAAAGCGUGGGUAGCAAACAGG
rnacentral:rRNA from 1 species